rnacentral:rRNA from 1 species
AUAUAAGCACACGCACGCCCCGUCCAUCCAUCCGGCCACUCGAUUCCCAGGAUAGAUUCUGGUCUGGUUCAGUGUGUGUGUGAGCUUCUCCCUUCUUCUGAUCGCGUGUGUGUGUGUGUGUGUGUGUGUGAGAAAGAGAGAGAUCUUGAUUGGUUGCACGUACGAGGUACGUGCGUGUCGGUCGGGUGGUCGAUCAUGUCGAUGGCGCAGCAGGGACAGGGGGCGGCGACGUCGCUGCCACCGGGGUUCCGGUUCCACCCGACGGACGAGGAGCUGAUCCUGCACUACCUCCGCAACCGCGCCGCCGCCGCGCCGUGCCCGGUCCCCAUCAUCGCCGACGUCGACAUCUACAAGUUCGACCCAUGGGACCUCCCCUCCCAGGCGGUGUACGGCGACUGCGAGUGGUACUUCUUCAGCCCGCGGGACCGCAAGUACCCCAACGGCAUCCGCCCCAACCGCGCCGCCGGCUCCGGCUACUGGAAGGCCACCGGCACCGACAAGCCCAUCCACGACGCCGCCACCGGCCAGGGCGUCGGCGUCAAGAAGGCGCUCGUCUUCUACACGGGCCGCCCGCCCAAGGGCACCAAGACGGCCUGGAUCAUGCACGAGUACCGCCUCGCCGCCGACCCCCUCGCCGCCGCCGUCAACACCUACAAGCCCAUCAAGUUCCGCAACGUCUCCAUGAGGCUCGAUGACUGGGUGUUGUGCCGGAUCUACAAGAAGACAGGCCUGGCGUCGCCGAUGGUGCCGCCGCUCGCGGACUACGACCACAUGGCCGACCACGACGACCUCUCCAGCGGCGGCACCUUCACCGACGCCACCUGCAGACCCAUGAUAAGGCAGCAGCACCACCAGCAGCCACACGCCGGGAGGCUCCCGACGUUCCCGUCCUUCUCCGAGCUGUUCGACGACUACGCGUUCGGGCAGAACUUGGACACCUACGUCGAGCACGGCGCCACCCACCACCUCGCCGUCCAUCCCUCCCUGAACCAGCUCCUCCCCGUCGGCGACAGCAGGCACGUAGUGGAGCCGUCGUACUACUCGCCCUCGUCGUCGUCGCCGGACGCCAGCGGCGGGAGCGCGGGGAAACGCAAGGCGGCGAGCCCGGAAGAACCCGGCACGCACCAGCCGUCGGCCAAGAAGCUCAACGGGUCGUGCUUCGACGCGCCGCCGCAGUCGGCGAAUGGCUGGCAGGCCGUGGCGUCCGUGCUGGGCGGCCUCAACCAUCACAUGCUUCCUCAGUUCUAAGCUGCUCUUCACGACCCUUCUUCAAGAUCUUGCAGCAUAUAUGACCUGGUUGUAUGCUUCAUCUCAGUAAACCCCAUCGAUCGGAUGACUCGUGACUAAAAAUUAACUUCCACAAGUGUGAAGUGGUGUCCAUAGGGAUGGGCGCGGCCGAAAGCGAACGGGUGGCCAACUUGCUAAAUUGCAAGCUUGGAAAGUUCCCAUUCACUUACCUUGGCUUACCGAUCGCAGAGAAGAAAUGCUCGAUUGCCGAUUGGGAACCUCUCAACACUAAGGUGGCGGACCGGGUAUGUCCAUGGAGAGGUCGAUUUAUGUCAUCAGGGGCACGACUAAUCCUUACUAACUCUAGCCUCUCGUCCUUACCCAUGUUCGUCAUGGGUAUGUUCUUAUUGGCGGAUGGCGUCCAUAAAAAAAUGGACACUCCCCGGGCACGUUUCUUUUGGGAAGGUGCGGGCCCUAAACGGAAGUACCACAUGGUUAAGUGGCAAGCCGUUUGUCGACCUAAAACCCAGGGGGGUCUCGGGGUCAUCAACUCUAAGCUGAUGAACAUAGCACUUAUGUGCAAGUGGAUCUGGAAGCUGUCCCAGGGAGGGACCGGCCUCUGGAUUGACCUCCUUCGUGCCAAGUACUUCCCACAUGGGAAUUUCUUUGAGGCAUCUCCUCACGGGUCACCUUUCUGGACCUCCAUCCAAUACCUCAAACCGUACUUCGCCAGGGGAGCGAGGUUUACGGUCUACAAUGGCCGCUCCACCCGGUUUUGGCACGACGUGUGGAUUGGCCAGCAACCCCUUUGGUCGGAGUUCCCCCACCUCUACGCCAUCGCGGUUGAUCCCAAUCAACUGGUGGCGUCGGCCCUCAGUGCCUCCCCGCCCCCCAUAUUCUUCAGAAGGGAGCUUGUGGGACCGGAGCAGGCCGAGUGGGAUCACGUGCGGGCUUUGACUGCGACCGUUCGCUUAUCGGACUCCGCUGAUGAGGUCUCUUGGAGACUCUCAGGCUCUGGCAAGUUCACUGUCAAGUCAAUGUACAGGAAGCUCUGUCGCGGGCAUGCCCCUAUGGCAGCCACGGGACUUUGGAAGGCGUGAAUCCCGCUAAAAAUUAAGGUCUUUCUUUGGCAAUUAUGUCAGGAUCGCCUUCCUACCUCUAUUAAUAUAGCCAAGCGCAAUGGCCCUGCUUCCGGACCGUGUGCUCUGUGUCAUAACGCGGAAGAUGCUGACCACGCGUUUUUUCGCUGCCCUUUGGCGCGGUUUGCUUGGAGUGCGGUCAGGGAGGCCGCUGGGGUGGAUUGGGAUCCACGCUCACGUUCUCAGCUUGUGUCUUACUUAUCUGCGAUCCCGGGCUCUUUGCGCCGGAUAAUGUGGACGUGUGCUUCGGCCUUGCUAUGGGCCUUAUGGCAUAUUCGCAACAAGUUUACUAUUGAGGGAGCGUUUCCCUCUCACCCCGCCGAUGUUAUCUUCAAAUGCAUCUUAUUCUUGCAGCAGUGGGCUCCGCUGGGAAGGCAACAGGAUGCUGAUCUCCAUCGACAUGCUACCGCUCGGCUCCGCACAGUCUACUCGGUGUCCCGAGCCCCGUCGCCUCCUCCGUCUGCUGCCUUAUAGGGAUAGGCGGCCCUUUUGGUCCUGCUUCCUUUGAGCCUGCGUGCUCGCUACUCUGGCUAGCUAUGCCAUGUAACGCACUUAUCACCGG